UACGAAGGGGGCUAGCGUUGCUCGGAAUGACUGGGCGUAAAGGGCGCGUAGGCGGACGGCUUUGUCGGGCGUGAAAUUCCAGGGCUUAACCUUGGGGCUGCGUUCGAGACGGGUUGUCUAGAGUUUGGAAGAGGGUCGUGGAAUUCCCAGUGUAGAGGUGAAAUUCGUAGAUAUUGGGAAGAACACCGGUGGCGAAGGCGGCGACCUGGUCCAACACUGACGCUCAGGCACGAAAGCGUGGGGAGCAAACAGG
rnacentral:rRNA from 1 species